UUUUUUUCCUAUUAUCGUGCGCAAAGUUCGAUUUUGCGCAUGCAUUUGCGUUCGCAAAGUACCACUUUCCCACACGGUGACAAGAGCGUGCGGGAAUGCAACUGAGCCAACGGGGAUGUAGCUGAGCGUGCGGGAAUGUAUAAGAUGGGAAGA